UUUAAAAGGAAGCAAGUUUGGAAAAGGAGAAAGAAAUGUCAAGGUUGAGGUGUCUUUGAGAGGAGUUUGUUUACAUGCAAAGUAUUUUCACCUACGUGAGGACCCAGUGCUGGAUGGAGGAGAGAGAAGGAGGCUGGAGCAAGCCCAGGCCUAUUCCCCAAGAAACAACAAUAUUGAAAUUAGGCCAAUGAACAACCCUAUAGUGGCUUCUAAGUGUUCAAGUAAAAGGAAGAGUCACACGUCUUUCACUUUAAAUCGAAAGCUAGAAAUGAUUAAGCUUAGUGGGGAAGGCAGGCCAAAUGCCAACAAACGCCAAAAGCUAGGCAUCUUACACCAAACAGUUACCCAAUUUGCGAAUGUGAAGAAAAAGUUCUUCAGAGAAAUUACAAGUGCUACUCCAGUGAACACAAGAAUGAUAAGAAAGCAAAACAGCCCUAUUGCUGAUAUUGAGAAACUUCGAGUGGUCCACAGAGAAAAUGAAACCAGCCACAACAUUUCCUUAAGCUAAAGCCUAAUCCAGAGAAAGAUCCUAACCCUCUUUAAUUCUAUGAAAGCUGAGAGUGGCUAGGAAGAGGCAGAAGAAAAAUCGGAAGCUAGCAGAGGUUGGUUUAUAAGGAAAGAAGCCAUCUCCAUAAAAUAAAGUACAGUAUGAAUCAGCAAGCACUGAUGUAAAAACUACAGCAAGUUAUCCAGAUCUAGCUAUUGUUGAAGAUGGCUACACUAAGCAACAGAUUUUCAAUAUGUAUGAAACAGCCUUCUAUUGGAAGAGAAUGCUUUCUAGGACUUUCAUAGCUAGAGAGGAGAAGUCAAUGUCUGGUUUCAAAACUUCAAAGGCCAUGCUGAUUCUCUUGUUAGGAGCUAAUGGAGCUGGUGACUUAAGUGGAAGCUAAUGUUCAAUGACCAUUCUAAAAAUUCUAGGGCCCUUAAAAAUGAUGCUCAAUCUACUUUUCCUGUGCUCUAUCAAUGAAACAGUGAAAACGUGGAUAAUAGCACAUUUGUUUACAGCCUGGUUUACUGACUGUUUUAAGCUCACUGUUGAUACUUACUGAUCAGAAUAAAAGAUUUCUUUCAAGAUAUUACUGCUCAUUGACAAUGCACCUGGUCACCCAGGAGCUCUGAUGGAGACAUACAAGGAGAUGAUUGUUGUCUUCAUGUCAGCUAACACAACAUCCAUUCUGCAGCCCAUAGAUCAAGGAGUAAUUUUGACUUUCAAGUCUUAUUAUAUAAGAAAUACAUUUUUAUGAGGGUAUAGCUGCCACAGAGAGUGAUUCCUCCGACAGAUCUGGGAAAAGUCCAUUAAAAAUGUUCUGGAAAGGAACCACCAUUUUAGAUGCCAUUAAGAACACUCGUGAUUCAGGAAAUGAGGUGAAAAUGUCCACAUUAAUAGGAGUUUGAAAUAAGUUGAUUCAAACCCUCAUGGAUGACUUGAUGAGUUGAAGACAUUAGUGGAGGAAGUAACUUCAGAUGUGGUGAAAACAGCAAGAGAAAUACAAUUAGAAGUGGAGCCUGAAAAUAUGACUGAGUUGCUGCAAUUUCAUGAUAAUACUUGAAUGGAAGAGGAGUUGCUUCUUAUGGGUGAGCAAAGAAAGUGGUUUCUUGAGUUAGAAUCUACUCCUGGUGAAGAUGCUGUGAACAUUGUGGAAAUGAUAAGAAAGGAUUUAGAAUAUUCCAUAAAGUUAGUUGAUAAAGCAGCAGCAAGGUUUGAGAGAGAUGAUUCUAAUUUUUAAAGAAGUUUUACUGUGGGCAAAAUGCUGUGGAACAGUGUCACAUACUACAGAGACCUUUCAUGAAAGGAAGAGUCAUUCAAUGCAGCAAACUUCAUUGUUGUCUUGUUUUUAAAAAUUGCCACUCUUGCCCCAAUUUCCAGCAACCACCACCUUGAUCAGUCAGCAGCCAUCAACAUGGAAGCAAGACACUCCAGCAAAAAGAUUAUGAUGUGCUGAAGGCUCAAAUGAUCAUUAGCAUUUUUUAGCAAUAAAGUAUUUUAAAAUUAAGGUAUUACAUUUUUAUUUAGUUAUAAUGCUAUUGCACACUUGAUAGUGUAGACAUAACUUUUAUAUGCACCAAGAAACCAAAAAAUUGUGUGGCUUGCUUUAUUGCAAUAUUGGCUUUAUUGUGAUGGUCUGGAACCAAAUCCAUGGUAUCUCCAAGAUAUGUCUACAUAAAAUGUGGAAGUAUAAAAAAUUUAGGGAAGAAAAUUAAAUUCACUUGUGAUCUCCCUGCCCAACAAUAACUCAUGUUAACAUUAGACCACCUAUUAUUUGAGAAAUAUAUAUUUUAUUCUAUAUAAAUUAUGUAUAAGUGUACAUUUAUAUGUAUAAAUAGUUUCAUGGUAUACACA
rnacentral:lncRNA from 10 species